UGAAAUACUCUCCGAAAACUCUUGGAGACUUUAUUUUAAUUUUCUCAACCCCUCCUUUGCCACUGACCAGUGGGUCUCCUGGAUAAGUCGAGCUCCGUCAUCUCCAAGGGACACGCGCCCGCUUCCUGCCCGGCUGUCUCUUGAUCUUUCUCCUCCCCCUCUGCUACCUCACUCCUCACUCUUUUCUUCCCCGCCUGGAUCCCCUUUCUCAUCAAGCUCGCCGGCCACGCCGCCGCUUGCCGUUGCAACGCCAGCCGCAGGGACCGGCGGGAUCCGCCAGCCGUCGGUCCGGAUCGACAUCCACGCCUCUGGCUCCGACAUGCACACCUGCUAGACAUCGCCGUGAACCACCUCGUUUCUCCGGAACCUCUUGAACCAAGGCUGCCUUUCUCGGUUCCAUCGGCCGCGGCGGUCAUCCUCCUCCCUGAGCAACUACAGGGACCGUGACGGGCUCUGCUUCUGGACAACGGACUCGAAGGCGCGGGUCCCUCCUAAUUCUUCCUCGACCGCUGACCGCCAUUGACGCUGUUCGUCCUCUCGCCUCCCUGAUCCAUCCGACCCGGCCGCCAUGAACAGCAAGGACAUUCAUGAGGGUUUGAAUUUUUCUGCUGCUGACGAUGAAUCCUACUUUGGAAUCCUUUCAAUAAAGUUUUCAAAAGAUGGCCGUGAACUUGUUGUCGGAAACAGCAAUGAGUCAAUAUGUAUUUAUGAUCUUUGAGCAAACAAAGUGACAGAGCGAAUUCAUGCUCAUGUGGUAUGAAAGUCAAAUGCACUCUUUCUUUUGUUGCUUCCAUAACCUGUCCUUACAAUGUACGCAACACUGUUUGGUGAUAGACAUAUCUUCUUAGGUCAUAUUGGGAUGUACUUCUAAAAUCAUUUCAAGUAUCUAAUGUGAGCAUUGGUACUGUUUGCAUGCAAAGAAAAUUAAAGGAGUUUGUUUGUAAGAUUCUAGUCUGCUGUCAAUAGAGAUGCACUUACAUUAUUAGUAAAAAAAAGCACUUACAUUGCAUAUUCUACAUGCUUUUGUACUGCAUCCUCUAAUGGUUCGUUAUGACUGAAGUAAUCAUCCACAUGAAGCAUGGUGUUGCUUUAGGCAUAGCAGAUUGAAGUAAUGAACCACGGAAAGCAAUAGUUCUUGGUGGUGCUUUAAGCAUAGCAGUUUGGAUAGAUACCGAUAGCAUGCUAGAAGUUCUGUCUUGUAGAGUACGGAACUGAAAUAAAAUUUGUCUUUGUAGGAGUCUCACAGUGUAGUGUAGUAUCACAUAAACACCUAACGCCUCUAAGAGGUAUUUCCAAACGAGAAGCCAAAAGGAAAAUGUCAAACAGUUUGUGGCGUGCCAACACUAUUCAAGGUGUUUGGCUUUGUUCUUGAAAAAAAAGGUGUUUGGCUUGCUGCAUAACUGCAGAGUGAUGGUAUAUGGUGAAAGAAAACACUGUAAAUGUUAGAACCACUAAGAUUAGACGACAAGUAAAUGUAUAAAUAUCAGUAAAACGAAUCACUACGUCAGCUGAAGCAGCAGUUGUGUUGGUAGUCCUGUGCAGGCUGGAAGUUGUCUCCUUCGGGCCUGCAUUAUUUGGCCUACGGAUACAUGAAUAUAUCCUCUGUAUUUAGUUUAUUCCUCUACCUCACGCUGAGCUUGGAGCCAAAGACCUCAUGUGCUGCGAACUUCAUAACAGAGGAGAUUGGAAGAUGGAGAAGAAAGGGACAAGGGAGAGGUUCGAUUGGUUUGGUGCCUUUUUUAGAUCGAUGAGCGCCUAUGCCUGGCCGGUGAGGUCAUGGCCUCGACGGAGAUAGGAAGGAUGGAUAGGGAGAGGCGGCCCUCAGCCACGGCCGCCCACGCCCAGCCUCGAUCCCCUAUGGAUCGGGAUCGGGAGAGCCAGCGCCUGAUCCCUGCCUCGCCUCGCCACCUCGACGUUGGCGAGCCCCACCAGAACCAGCUUCCCAAGCGCUGCCCUGCCUUCCUCCUCUUCAUCUCCUUUCUCUCAUUCCUCUCGUUUUCCCCUUCCUCCAUCCCGUGCUCUCUCUUAUCUCUCUCUCUCUCUCUCUUUGUUCGAACAGGAGGUACUCAGCCGCCCCAGCCGAGCCUAGUUAACCUUCCGUUGAGAUGGACGGCGGCGCGGAGGAGACAGUGAGGUCGCCGGCAAGUGCAACGACGACCGACUGGCGGAGGCUUUGGUCGAGUGGCGAGCGAGAGCCCUCCCGGGCGGCGCACAGCGAGGAGCUCGGGCGCGCAGAGGAGAGGAGGAUCUGAGGCUUAACGGUGGUGCAGUGCUGCGUUCGCCAGCGCGGCUCCGGAUCGAGCGUCGCGCGGGGUGGAGCGCCUCCUUGGCGGCUGGGAUCGGGAGGUGAGGGAGAGAGAGGAGAGCCCAUCCUGGGCCGCGGGUUGAAUACCGCAAAUUACAGGGAUUUAUUUGUAAAGUUGUCGAACGAAACGUUUUUCCCUUCAGAAGAGGAGUGCGGAUUGAAUAUGAAGAAUUAC